rnacentral:rRNA from 1 species
AUUGAACGCUGGCGGCAGGCCUAACACAUGCAAGUCGAACGAGUGGCGGACGGGUGAGUAAUGUCUGGGAAACUGACUGAUGGAGGGGGAUAACUACUGGAAACGGUAGCUAAUACCGCAUACCACCAGGUGUGCCCAGAUGGGAUUAGCGGUUUGGUGGGGUAACGGCUCACCAAGGCGACGGUCCCUAGCUGGUCUGAGAGGAUGACCAGCCACACUGGAACUGGUACACGGCCCGGACUCCUACGGUGGGCAGAGUUGGGGAAUAUUGCACAAUGGGCGCAAGCCGGAUGCAGCCAUGCCGCGUGUAUGAAGAAGGCCUUCGGGUUGUAAAGUACUUUCAGCGGGGAGGCGUUACCCGCAGAAGAAGCACCGGCUAACUCCGUGCCAGCAGCCGCGGUAAUAC